rnacentral:misc_RNA from 1 species
AAGGAGUCUAACAUCUAUGCGAGUGUUCGGGUGUCAAACCCCUACGCGUAAUGAAAGUGAACGGAGGUGAGAACCGCAAGGCGCAUCAUCGACCGAUCCUGAUGUCUUCGGAUGGAUUUGAGUAAGAGCAUAGCGGGUGGGACCCGAAAGAUGGUGAACUAUGCCUGAAUAGGGUGAAGCCAGAGGAAACUCUGGUGGAGGCUCGCAGCGGUACUGACGUGCAAAUCGAUCGUCAAACUUGGGUAUAGGGGCGAAAGACUAAUCGAACCAUCUAGUAGCUGGUUCCUGC